rnacentral:rRNA from 1 species
UACAUAGGGCGCAAGCGUUGUCCGGAUUUAUUGGGCGUAAAGAGUUCGUAGGCGGCACUGUUAGUCAGAAGUUAAAACGCAAGGCUUAACCUUGCGGUGCUUUUGAUACUGCAGAGCUUGAGUAUGGCAGGGGAGAAGGGAAUUCCACGUGUAGCGGUGAAAUGCGCAGAUAUGUGGAGGAACACCAGUGGCGAAGGCGCUUCUCUGGGCCAUUACUGACGCUGAGGAACGAAAGCGUGGGUAGCGAACAGG